GACGAACGCUGGCGGCGUGCUUAACACAUGCAAGUCGAGCGGUAAGGCCCUUUCGGGGGUACACGAGCGGCGAACGGGUGAGUAACACGUGGGUGACCUGCCCUCAGCUCUGGGAUAAGCCUGGGAAACCGGGUCUAAUACUGGAUAUGACUCCAUGACGCAUGUUGUGGGGUGGAAAGCCUUGUGCGGCUGAGGAUGGGCCCGCGGCCUAUCAGCUUGUUGGUGGGGUGAUGGCCUACCAAGGCGACGACGGGUAGCCGGCCUGAGAGGGCGACCGGCCACACUGGGACUGAGACACGGCCCAGACUCCUACGGGAGGCAGCAGUGGGGAAGUCUUGCGCAAUGGGCGAAAGCCUGACGCAGCGACGCCGCGUGA
rnacentral:rRNA from 1 species